CUUAGAAGCAGCCAUCAUUUAAAGAAAGCGUAAUAGCUCACUGGUCGAGUCGGCCUGCGCGGAAGAUGUAACGGGGCUAAACCAUGCACCGAAGCUGCGGCAGCGACACUAUGUGUUGUUGGGUAGGGGAGCGUUCUGUAAGCCUGCGAAGGUGGCCUGUGAGGGUUGCUGGAGGUAUCAGAAGUGCGAAUGCUGACAUAAGUAACGAUAAAGCGGGUGAAAAGCCCGCUCGCCGGAAGACCAAGGGUUCCUGUCCAACGUUAAUCGGGGCAGGGUGAGUCGACCCCUAAGGCGAGGCCGAAAGGCGUAGUCGAUGGGAAACGGGUUAAUAUUCCCGUACUUGGUGUUACUGCGAAGGGGGGACGGAGAAGGCUAUGUUGGCCGGGCGACGGUUGUCCCGGUUUAAGCGUGUAGGUGUGUGUUCCAGGUAAAUCCGGUUCACUUUAACACUGAGGCGUGAUGACGAGGCACUACGGUGCUGAAGCAACAAAUGCCCUGCUUCCAGGAAAAGCCUCUAAGCAUCAGGUAACAUCAAAUCGUACCCCAAACCGACACAGGUGGUCAGGUAGAGAAUACCAAGGCGCUUGAGAGAACUCGGGUGAAGGAACUAGGCAAAAUGGUGCCGUAACUUCGGGAGAAGGCACGCUGACACGUAGGUGAAGUGAUUUACUCAUGGAGCUGAAGUCAGUCGAAGAUACCAGCUGGCUGCAACUGUUUAUUAAAAACACAGCACUGUGCAAACACGAAAGUGGACGUAUACGGUGUGACGCCUGCCCGGUGCCGGAAGGUUAAUUGAUGGGGUCAGCGCAAGCGAAGCUCCUGAUCGAAGCCCCGGUAAACGGCGGCCGUAACUAUAACGGUCCUAAGGUAGCGAAAUUCCUUGUCGGGUAAGUUCCGACCUGCACGAAUGGCGUAAUGAUGGCCAGGCUGUCUCCACCCGAGACUCAGUGAAAUUGAACUCGCUGUGAAGAUGCAGUGUACCCGCGGCAAGACGGAAAGACCCCGUGAACCUUUACUAUAGCUUGACACUGAACAUUGAGCCUUGAUGUGUAGGAUAGGUGGGAGGCUUUGAAGUGUGGACGCCAGUCUGCAUGGAGCCGGCCUUGAAAUACCACCCUUUAAUGUUUGAUGUUCUAACGUGGACCCGUGAUCCGGGUUGCGGACAGUGUCUGGUGGGUAGUUUGACUGGGGCGGUCUCCUCCUAAAGAGUAACGGAGGAGCACGAAGGUUGGCUAAUCCUGGUCGGACAUCAGGAGGUUAGUGCAAUGGCAUAAGCCAGCUUGACUGCGAGCGUGACGGCGCGAGCAGGUGCGAAAGCAGGUCAUAGUGAUCCGGUGGUUCUGAAUGGAAGGGCCAUCGCUCAACGGAUAAAAGGUACUCCGGGGAUAACAGGCUGAUACCGCCCAAGAGUUCAUAUCGACGGCGGUGUUUGGCACCUCGAUGUCGGCUCAUCACAUCCUGGGGCUGAAGUAGGUCCCAAGGGUAUGGCUGUUCGCCAUUUAAAGUGGUACGCGAGCUGGGUUUAGAACGUCGUGAGACAGUUCGGUCCCUAUCUGCCGUGGGCGCUGGAGAACUGAGGGGGGCUGCUCCUAGUACGAGAGGACCGGAGUGGACGCAUCACUGGUGUUCGGGUUGUCAUGCCAAUGGCACUGCCCGGUAGCUAAAUGCGGAAGAGAUAAGUGCUGAAAGCAUCUAAGCACGAAACUUGCCCCGAGAUGAGUUCUCCCUGAGACUUAGAGUCUCCUGAAGGAACGUUGAAGACGACGACGUUGAUAGGCCGGGUGUGUAAGCGCAGCGAUGCGUUGAGCUAACCGGUACUAAUGAACCGUGAGGCUUAACCUUACA
rnacentral:rRNA from 1 species